rnacentral:rRNA from 14 species
GGGUAGAGGAGCGUUCCGUCCAGGGGGAAGCCAAGCGCGUAAGCCGCGGUGGACAGGGCGGAAGUGAGAAUGUCAGCUUGAGUAACGAAAACAUUGGUGAGAAUCCAGUGCCCCGAAAACUUAAGGGUUCCUGCGCAAGGCUCGUCCGCGCAGGGUCAGUCAGGACCUAAGGUGAGGCCGAAAGGCGUAAUCGAUGGCAAGAAGGUUUAUAUUCCUUCACUAGUCUAGGCUUAGUCCUGAGGGACGAACAAAUAACACUCUACACAACGGCCAUACUUGGCAGUUUGGAUAAACCCGUUGCUGUUUGAUGCUAUUUAUUCCAAGAAAAGCUCAUUCGACUUUGAGUCUAGACUACCUGUACCGUAAACCGACACAGGUGAGUGGGUUGAAUAAACUAAGGGGAGCGAGAUAACUCUCUCUAAGGAACUCGGCAAAUUGGCUCUGUACCUUCGGAAGAAAGAGUGCCCCUCAGGGGGCCGCAGUGAAGAGAUCCAGGCGACUGUUUACCAAAAACACAGGUCUCCGCUAAGUCGCAAGACGAUGUAUGGGGGCUGACGCCUGCCCAGUGCCGGAAGGUUAAAGAAGUUGGUCAGCGCAAGCGAAGCUAACGACUGAAGCCCCGGUGAACGGCGGCCGUAACUAUAACGGUCCUAAGGUAGCG